CAUGAAAAGCUUAGACCCAGGCAAGAACUCCUGGUCAUGGACUAAAUGAUAGAGAACUCAAUACCCAAAGUGGCUGCUGCUGAUAUCAUGAUCCACAGUCCCAGGGAGGAAAUGAACGCUUCUUCAUAUUUCUGGGUCUCCUCCUGAGGUGAGCCUGGGCUCUGUCUGAGACCUUUUCCUGGAGAGAACACAAAAGGAAUCACACGAGAUUGUGUUGGGAUACAUCGUGAGAAGGAAAUAGCCGUGGAGGAACUGCUUCCUGUGGAAUGCUCGCUGGCUAGGUAUCCAGGAAUGCGGGUCAGUGGCGGCCGAUGUUACAGUUCUUUGACCUUGAAGAGCUGCCUACUCAAGGCAGGGAGAGAAGGGGCACACACUCGAAGGUGUUCCGUGUUCUAAGAAGCAUGGAAGGAAGAAAUGAUAGUUGGAAACCUGGGCUUUCUCAGGGGAAAAGGACUUGAAUCAGACUUCAAAGGAAAUGAACAAAUCAUUAUUUGGAAUGAAAUUAUGUAUUAUUGAAUGAGCCUUGAAGCAGCUGUUCAUUGGCCAGGGCUUGGGAGAUUUUAUUUACUGAGAAUGUUGAAAUAAAAUUUAUUAUAACAAGAA
rnacentral:sRNA from 1 species